AUGUGUGCUUUUUUCAAACAAUUUAGAAAGAUAGCUUUUCUGAUCAAGCUCUCUGUUCUAUGUACAGCAAUAGUCAUGUCCUGCCUUCUAGUCUCGCAUGACCUCUUAAUAGUUUUUCUGAUCAAGAUUUUUUUGUUCUCAUGUACAGUAAGAGUGGUAAACUACUUAAACAAUGAUUCAUUUGGUUUCAAAUCGUGCACAUAUGCUAUUUAUCUAGUUUCUAACCCAAAUCUGAUAGGAUAUAUGAGACCAUCUUAUUCUGUGAUAUUUGUUGUGCCUACUUAUACUCUAAAUUUGCAUUCUCUUGUAAAGUUCAGUACAUUUGCCUUAUAA
rnacentral:rRNA from 1 species